UCUCUCAUUCACACUCGUUCUCUCUCUCGUUUUCAUCAUCACGCCCACAUCAAGAAAGAAAGAAAAGAAAAUCCUUCCAACCGAUACUUACUAUCUUCUUCCAAAUCCUUGACCUUGGUAUUUGAUCAUUGAGGAAGAUUGAAAUAAUCACAUAUAUCAGAGCCUCUAGGAUCGCAUCACCACACAAAUUAAGGUUAAGUAAGCUGUAUUCAAUAUCCAUGUUAUACUCUGACGAAAAUCAAGACAAGUGAAGAAGAUGUUUUGUCACGUUAAAUGAUGAGGCAACGUACAACUUCGUGUUUCAUGGUCUUAGGGCAACCCGUCGAUCUAGACGACAAUUUCAUGUUUACAUUGCCUCGAUAAAGGUAAAGGAAUAGCAUGAAGUGGAUGAAGCUAGACGGGCAUGUGACGGGCAAGAAUGUGGGAGAUGGGGAUACCACACGCAAAAUUUUAUUUCCGCUAAAGUUUUAAUAUUUAAUAGAAUUAUAAUUUCAUGG